rnacentral:rRNA from 1 species
GACAGAGGCCCCAAGCGUUAGGCGGAAUCACUGGGCUUAAAGCGUGUGUAGGCGGAUCGUUAAGUGUCUUGUGAAAUCCCACGGCUCACCCGUGGAACUGCUGGGCAUACUGGCGAUCUUGGGCCAACUAGGGGCAGCCGGAACAAGCGGUGGAGCGGUGAAAUGCGUAGAUAUCGCUUGGAACGCCAAUGGUGAAAACGCUCGCUGGGGGUGUGCUGACGCUGAGACACGAAAGCCAGGGGAGCAAACGGG